rnacentral:rRNA from 1 species
GACGAACGCUGGCGGCGUGCUUAACACAUGCAAGUCGAACGGUAAGGCUCCAGCUUGCUGGGGUACACGAGUGGCGAACGGGUGAGUAACACGUGGGUGACCUGCCCUGCACUUCGGGAUAAGCCUGGGAAACUGGGUCUAAUACCGGAUAGGACCGCACCGUGAGGGUGUGGUGGAAAGUUUUUUCGGUGUGGGAUGGGCCCGCGGCCUAUCAGCUUGUUGGUGGGGUAAUGGCCUACCAAGGCGGCGACGGGUAGCCGGCCUGAGAGGGUGGACGGCCACAUUGGGACUGAGACACGGCCCAGACUCCUACGGGAGGCAGCAGUGGGGAAUAUUGCACAAUGGGCGGAAGCCUGAUGCAGCGACGCCGCGUGGGGGAUGACGGCCUUCGGGUUGUAAACUCCUUUCACCAUCGACGAAGGGUUUCUGACGGUAGAUGGAGAAGAAGCACCGGCUAACUACGUGCCAGCAGCCGCGGUAAUACGUAGGGUGCGAGCGUUGUCCGGAAUUACUGGGCGUAAAGAGCUCGUAGGUGGUUUGUCGCGUCGUCUGUGAAAUUCCGGGGCUUAACUCCGGGCGUGCAGGCGAUACGGGCAUAACUUGAGUACUGUAGGGGAGACUGGAAUUCCUGGUGUAGCGGUGAAAUGCGCAGAUAUCAGGAGGAACACCGGUGGCGAAGGCGGGUCUCUGGGCAGUAACUGACGCUGAGGAGCGAAAGCAUGGGGAGCGAACAGGAUUAGAUACCCUGGUAGUCCAUGCCGUAAACGGUGGGCGCUAGGUGUGGGUUUCCUUCCACGGGAUCCGUGUCGUAGCUAACGCAUUAAGCGCCCCGCCUGGGGAGUACGGCCGCAAGGCUAAAACUCAAAGGAAUUGACGGGGGCCCGCACAAGCGGCGGAGCAUGUGGAUUAAUUCGAUGCAACGCGAAGAACCUUACCUGGGCUUGACAUAUACAGGAUCGCGCCAGAGAUGGUGUUUCCCUUGUGGCUUGUAUACAGGUGGUGCAUGGUUGUCGUCAGCUCGUGUCGUGAGAUGUUGGGUUAAGUCCCGCAACGAGCGCAACCCUUGUCUUAUGUUGCCAGCACGUUGUGGUGGGGACUCGUAAGAAACUGCCGGGGUUAACUCGGAGGAAGGUGGGGAUGACGUCAAAUCAUCAUGCCCCUUAUGUCCAGGGCUUCACACAUGCUACAAUGGUCGGUACAGUGGGUUGCCAGUCCGUGAGGGCGAGCUAAUCCCGCAAAGCCGGUCUCAGUUCGGAUCGGGGUCUGCAACUCGACCCCGUGAAGUCGGAGUCGCUAGUAAUCGCAGAUCAGNCACGCUGCGGUGAAUACGUUCCCGGGGCU